AUUGAACGCUGGCGGCAUGCCUUACACAUGCAAGUCGAACGGUAACAGGUCUUCGGAUGCUGACGAGUGGCGAACGGGUGAGUAAUACAUCGGAACGUGCCUAGUAGUGGGGGAUAACUACUCGAAAGAGUGGCUAAUACCGCAUGAGAUCUACGGAUGAAAGCAGGGGAUCGCAAGACCUUGUGCUACUAGAGCGGCCGAUGGCAGAUUAGGUAGUUGGUGGGAUAAAAGCUUACCAAGCCGACGAUCUGUAGCUGGUCUGAGAGGACGAUCAGCCACACUGGGACUGAGACACGGCCCAGACUCCUACGGGAGGCAGCAGUGGGGAAUUUUGGGCAAUGGGCGCAAGCCUGAUCCAGCAAUGCCGCGUGCAGGAUGAAGGCCUUCGGGUUGUAAACUGCUUUUGUACGGAACGAAAAGCCCCGGGUUAAUACCCUGGGGUCAUGACGGUACCCAAAGAAUAAGCACCGGCUAACUUCGUGCCAGCCGCCGCCGUAA
rnacentral:rRNA from 1 species